GACAGAGGGUGCAAACGUUUGUUCGGAAUUACUGGGCGUAAAGCGCGUGUAGGCGGCCAUCUAAGUCGGGCGUGAAAUCCCACGGCUCAACCGUGGAACUGUUGGGCAUACUGGACGCCUUGAGGCACACGAGGGGCGAGCGGAACAAGUGGUGGAGCGGUGAAAUGCGUAGAUAUCACUUGGAACGCCGACGGGUGAAAAACAGCUCGCUGGGUGGUGUUC
rnacentral:rRNA from 1 species